GACAGAGGGUGCAAACGUUGUUCGGAAUUACUGGGCGUAAAGCGCGUGUAGGCUGCUCAGAAAGUCGGAUGUGAAAGCCCUGGGCUUAACCUAGGAAGUGCAUCGAAACUUCUGAGCUGGAGUUCUGGAGAGGAAGGCGGAAUUCUCGGUGUAGAGGUGAAAUUCGUAGAUAUCGAGAGGAACACCGGUGGCGAAGGCGGGGGUCUCUGGGGGCCGAUACUGACGCUGGAGGAGCGAAAGCGUGGGGGAGCGAACAGG
rnacentral:rRNA from 1 species